UACGUAGGGGGCGAGCGUUGCCCGGAAUUACUGGGCGUAAAGAGCGCGUAGGCGGUUUGUUGAGUUGUGCGUGAAAACUCACAGCUCAACUGUGGGCGUGCGGGCGAUACGGGCAGACUGGAGUACUGCAGGGGAGACUGGAAUUCCUGGUGUAGCGGUGAAAUGCGCAGAUAUCAGGAAGAACACCCGUGGCGAAGGCGGCUCUCUGGGACGGUACUGACGCUGAGACGCGAAAGCGUGGGGAGCGAACAGG
rnacentral:rRNA from 1 species